CUGAUGAGAUUUAACACGAAGUGAGUGCGGACGGGUGAGUAACACGUGGGUAACCUGCCCAGAAGCAGGGGAUAACACCUGGAAACAGAUGCUAAUACCGUAUAACAGAGAAAACCGCCUGGUUUUCUUUUAAAAGAUGGCUCUGCUAUCACUUCUGGAUGGACCCGCGGCGCAUUAGCUAGUUGGUGAGGUAACGGCUCACCAAGGCGAUGAUGCGUAGCCGACCUGAGAGGGUAAUCGGCCACAUUGGGACUGAGACACGGCCCAGACUCCUACGGGAGGCAGCAGUAGGGAAUCUUCCACAAUGGACGCAAGUCUGAUGGAGCAACGCCGCGUGAGUGAAGAAGGGUUUCGGCUCGUAAAGCUCUGUUGUUAAAGAAGAACGUGGGUGAGAGUAACUGUUCACCCAGUGACGGUAUUUAACCAGAAAGCCACGGCUAACUACGUGCCAGCAGCCGCGGUAAUACGUAGGUGGCAAGCGUUAUCCGGAUUUAUUGGGCGUAAAGCGAGCGCAGGCGGUCUUUUAAGUCUAAUGUGAAAGCCUUCGGCUCAACCGAAGAAGUGCAUUGGAAACUGGGAGACUUGAGUGCAGAAGAGGACAGUGGAACUCCAUGUGUAGCGGUGAAAUGCGUAGAUAUAUGGAAGAACACCAGUGGCGAAGGCGGCUGUCUGGUCUGUAACUGACGCUGAGGCUCGAAAGCAUGGGUAGCGAACAGGAUUAGAUACCCUGGUAGUCCAUGCCGUAAACGAUGAUUACUAAGUGUUGGAGGGUUUCCGCCCUUCAGUGCUGCAGCUAACGCAUUAAGUAAUCCGCCUGGGGAGUACGACCGCAAGGUUGAAACUCAAAAGAAUUGACGGGGGCCCGCACAAGCGGUGGAGCAUGUGGUUUAAUUCGAAGCUACGCGAAGAACCUUACCAGGUCUUGACAUCUUCUGCCAACCUAAGAGAUUAGGCGUUCCCUUCGGGGACAGAAUGACAGGUGGUGCAUGGUGUCGUCAGCUCG
rnacentral:rRNA from 1 species